rnacentral:lncRNA from 1 species
AUGACCUUUAUAGGUCGGCUCAUGCAUCAAACAUUUCGACACAUGACCUAUACAGGUCGACACAUACUGUGAAUGUUUGUCUAAAAAUCAGUUUUUAAUCAUCCAAACACUAUCUUAUGUGUCGAAAACUUAUGUUACAAAAAUCUAUCAAUAUAGAUUCAAUUUCUUACUAUUAUAGCUUCCUAACUCAUCAUUUACUCCAUAGAUUCAUGUACUAAC